AUCUUCCUUGUCUUGGGGAGCAGAAAUGUUCAAUGAACGUAUAGUGAGGACAUUGCUGCUGACACCAAAGAUAUAAAUCUAAGCCCCCGUUCGUUGGUUAUUGAAGCCAAAUGAUCGGAAUUUUUGGAAAA
rfam:Drosophila willistoni strain TSC#14030-0811.24 scf2_1100000004943 genomic scaffold, whole genome shotgun sequence.